rnacentral:lncRNA from 1 species
UGAAAGUGAAUUUAUUUAUAACAGCGUCCGCUCCGUGCGCUGGGACAGCCGGGCCCAGGGGCUGCUCAUCGACCGCUCCCUCUUCGAGCGGGAGCUGCUCAGCCCGGGCGACGCCCAGGGGCCGGCCCCGCGCCCCUUCAGGGCCACGCGGUUCCGCAGCUUCGUGCGCCAGCUCCACCGCUACGGCUUCCACAGGGUGCCGGGCCGGGCUGGCUCAGCUGCGCCGGGCGAUGCCGGGGCCUGGUUCCACUACAGCAACCCCUGCUUUCGCCGCGACCGCCCCGACCUCCUGCUCCGCGUCAGGCGCCGGAGCACGCCCAACAGGCAGCGGCCGGCGGCGGGGCGGGAGGGCCGCAGGCGCCAGCCCAGCCGCUUCCAGCAGCACCAUCCAGAGCGGGUGGUGCCCUCCUUCCCCGCCGGGCAGCCCCCAGAGCCGUGCUCUCCUAUCAGGACCUUGCUGCUGGCUGGCCUCAGGGUUUAGAGCUGCCUCCAGGCCCUUCCAGGCAAAGUGCAGGUGCUUGGGAGUCUGAGGUUUUCCUAGCAUCUUCCAAGAAAGUCUUUGCCACAUCUGGACUUCUUGGGGUUUCAUCAGAGGAAUCAGGCAUGGACAAAUUUCAACUCAACUGUGAGCUCACCAUUCUUCUGCUUCCCAUGGAGCUUAAGUGCCACCCUGAGCUCAUCGUUCCUCUGGUUCCUGUAGACCAUCACAGCCCUCCCAUGGCCUCUCCACAGAGAAGCUGCUGCACAUCUUCCAAGCAGCAUUUGCCAGCCUGCAGCCCAUCAGUCACCCCAGGCAGUUCAGCCCCCUGUGCUGCAGCUGGCAGUGCUGGUUUUGGAGCAUGGACAGCUCCCAGCUGGCUGUGGAGUACUCUUGGGGAAGAAGAAUUGUCACCAGUGGAUCUGGACAUGGUGCUUGAGACACUGGAGGAGAUGUUUUCUCUGUCUGCUCAGGGGAGUGUUAUUGUUGCCCCUGAGUCUUCAGGAGAGGAGCCUGUGGACAGAGCUGCAGCAGAGGGAGCUUUGCCUGGCACCAGGAGCUGCCGGAACAAUUCCCAGGAGCCCGAGGAGCCUGAGCUGUUCAUCCCAGAGCUGGUAGUUGUUUUGGAGGAGCUGUUGCUCACUGCAGAGGGCAGUUUGUAG